CCUACGGGAGGCAGCAGUAGGGAAUAUUGCUCAAUGGGGGAAACCCUGAAGCAGCAACGCCGCGUGGAGGAUGAAGGUUUUCGGAUUGUAAACUCCUUUUGUUAGAGAAGAUAAUGACGGUAUGUAACGAAUAAGCACGGGCUAACUCCGUGCCAGCAGCCGCGGUAAUACGGAGGGUGCAAGCGUUACUCGGAAGCACUGGGAGUAAAGAGCGCGUAGGCGGGAUAGCAAGUCAGAUGUGAAAUCCUAUGGCUUAACCAUAGAACUGCAUUUGAAACUGUUAUUCUUGAGUAUGGGAGAGGUAGGUGGAAUUCUUGGUGUAGGGGUAAAAUCCGUAGAGAUCAAGAGGAAUACUCAUUGCGAAGGCGACCUGCUAGAACAUAACUGACGCUGAUGCGCGAAAGCGUGGGGAGCAAACAGGAUUAGAUACCCGUGUAGUC
rnacentral:rRNA from 1 species